UUAAAUGUAUGAAUAAGUUUAUUUAAUAAAGUUACUGAAAUAACUCAAAGUAAGACACUUUAAAAUUGUACAACCUCAGUCUUGCUCUUCACUGCCAUCAGGAAGUAGCAUAAGAUGAAAUAUUAAUGCCCAAAAGCCUCUGAAGACUUGAUUUCAGGAAGAUUAAUGUUCUUUGGAACCUACUUUCUUGAUUACUUCUGUGACUGUGGUCAUGGAUAGCAUAUUUCCUAUCAAGUAGCAUUAUAUUCUGUAAGAACCUGUUUACCUCCAUGUUUCUGCCUUGAGCAGGAUACCCUUCAUCAAACCAUUCUAGUUUGCCCUUUCUUAAAGAUUUUCAUGGUUAAAAUUGUCUUUACUCCUUCCUUCCCCCAUGGCUUUAGUUUCUGAUAUUAGGAACAUAGUCUGAUUAAAUUAACCCAUACUAAAGUAUGAGUCAUGGGUGGCCAUCUCAACAGUUAAUUCAAGUGAACCUCUUGCUUUGUCAAGUUGCAGGCAGUGUAGUAGGAGUUAUUUGAGUGGUACGGAGUUUCUCCACCAUUCUUCCUAAUUGAGAGAGGCCACAAAGAAGAUCUGCAACCACAACAAGGCCAAUUCUGACCAGAGUCUUGUUUCUGAUGGGCCCUGGCAGGCCAGAUACUGCCCUUUAGGAGUGGAAUCAGCAUAACUGGACUGUCAGCAGAAUUGGAUCUGUAAAGUUAAUUCCUAGGCAGUAGAUACAGUGUGUACAUUUUAAAUAAAUGAUCUCUGUAUGUCACCAUUUCUUUAGGUGAAUCUACAGUGUCAUUUGCAGGCUUUUUCUCUGCCUAUACUUUAAAUUCUAGUGUUUGCUAUUUUACCCUUUUUUCACCCCUCUUCUUGAAGCAGUGGUUUCAGCUAUAUGUGAUUCCAAAUCUUCAGCCCAGAUUGUCUGUAAGCUCCAGACCUGUGAAUCCAGUGGUCUACUGAACAUCCCAACCACAGGCAACAUUUUCUGCAUCCUCUCUUCCAGACCUCAUGCCUACUGGAUAAUAAAUUCACUCUAAGAAAGAGGAAGGAAGAAAAAAUAUAUCCAACUUAAAGCAGGGAAGGGAGUGGAAGAAAGAUCCUUCCAAAGAGCAGAGUUAAGACCACCAGACUGGUUGACCAAGGAACUACAUUUCACUUCUGUACUGAGGGGUCCUUACCUUAUUCUUCAUGCAAGAUACGAUAAUUGCUGCCUUGUACCUCCUUCCACCAGCCGCCACCCGCUGUAGUCUCUUCUUUUUCAUUUGG